rnacentral:rRNA from 1 species
UACGUAGGGUGCGAGCGUUGUCCGGAAUUAUUGGGCGUAAAGAGCUCGUAGGCGGUUUGUCACGUCUGCUGUGAAAUCCCGAGGCUCAACCUCGGGCCUGCAGUGGGUACGGGCAGACUGGAGUGCGGUAGGGGAGAAUGGAAUUCCUGGUGUAGCGGUGGAAUGCGCAGAUAUCAGGAGGAACACCAUGGCGAAGGCAGCUCGCUGGGACGGUACUGACGCUGAGGCGCGAAAGCGUGGGGAGCAAACAGG